rnacentral:tRNA from 1 species
GGUAUAGUCAAGUGGUUAAGACGUCGGAUUGUGGCUCCGAUAUGCGUGGGUUCGAAUCCCACUACC